GACGAACGCUGGCGGCGUGCUUUACACAUGCAAGUCGAACGGUGAAGGUGGAGCUUGCUCCGCCGGAUCAGUGGCGAACGGGUGAGUAACACGUGGGCAACCUGCCCCUAACUUUGGGAUAACUACUCGAAAGAGUAGCUAAUACCGGAUAUGAAGUCUGUAGGCAUCUAUGGAUUUGGAAAGUUUUUCGGUUAGGGAUGGGCCCGCGGCCUAUCAGCUUGUUGGUGAGGUAGUGGCUCACCAAGGCGACGACGGGUAGCCGGCCUGAGAGGGCGACCGGCCACACUGGGACUGAGACACGGCCCAGACUCCUACGGGAGGCAGCAGUGGGGAAUAUUGCGCAAUGGGCGAAAGCCUGACGCAGCAACGCCGCGUGCGGGAUGAAGGCCUUCGGGUUGUAAACCGCUUUCAGCAGGGAAGAAGCGAAAGUGACGGUACCUGCAGAAGAAGCACCGGCUAACUACGUGCCAGCCGCCGCAGUAA
rnacentral:rRNA from 1 species